AAAUUGAAUAACGAGCUAGCAGCCAACGACAGCGGGCGCGAUCGUUGCUCUUAAUCUUUUGGCUAAUUGAUCUAAAUUAUAUGCGAGGUGAUCUCAAUUUUCAAACAAAAUGCCGUCAAAAUUCCACGACGAGGCUCUGCGUCAGACGGCCACUCACAGGCGAGAUGACGUCAGGGCGGAAUUCGGUGGUAUGGUACCCGGAUGCUGUCCGCCCAACACGUGCUCGUCUCCAGGCGUUGUGAGUGAGGAGGGUGGCGGCGUUGCUCAGGCGGCCCCAGAGCCGGCGGCGGCGCCACAGGCAGGGCAGGCGCAGGCCGUGUGCGACGUGUGUUGUGCGACGGGCACGCCGGGCCCCUGCCGCUGCCACCAGCAGGCGGCGCAGCCGCAGCAACCGCCGCAGCGGCCGCUCGUGCCGCCGCAGCGCCGCUUCAAGAGGUCCACGACCACUGACUACAGACAGCAGUGGUGACCGCGCUGGUUGCCAAGUGCGUGUGCCCGCCUCGGCCGAGCCGCAGCCGCGAGAUCCUGAUGGGGUGGCUGGUGAACGGCUGCGACUGCCUGCACAGUAACGGGCUGCAAGACGACUGCCGGCGCACGGGCUGCCACGGCAACGCCUACUGCCUGCUGCCCGAGCCGCACUGCUUCCCCAGCUCGCUGCGCCCCGCGCACGAGGCCUGCCGCCAGCCGCGCAAGCCCUACUGCCACUGCUUCCCCUGGUGAGUUGCCAGAGAAAGGAGAAGUACACCAGCACAUUUUUACACAGAAGACAGAAAGAAGAUCGUAUUGUGCUAAUCACAGAGGUAAUACUAGAAGAAAAGUAAAAAAAAAUUAAGCUGUUUAUUUUUGUGAAUAUGUACAUUUUAUUGAAAGCGUAUUUUAAAAAUAUAGUGCUGUCCUUAAAUAUAUUUAAAAUGUUAA